CGCCGGCGCUGCCCCGCUCCCGGGGCUCGCAGCUCCCCGGGCGGACCUGUUGCCGUGCGGCCCCGGUGCCGCCGGCCGGUGAGACUCUUACACUGAAGGCGGGCGGGCGGUGCCAUGAUGUAAUGCUGCCGCACUGCCCGGAGCGGCCGCUGCCGUUGGCCGAGGCGCGGAGUCCCCGCCCGGGCACUCCGCCCGCCGCCCCCCCGGCGGGCCAUAAAAGCCCCGAGGCUGAGGCAGGGCAGCUUCCCCGGCCCCUCCGCCGCUCAGGUGAGCCGGGCGCAGGUGAGCCCCGCAGGUGCGGAGGCGGCUCGGGGACGCUGCGAGGGUUCCUCGGCCACCUGUGGAGCCGCUCCCGCCUCUACCGGGCGGCUCCGCGGGUGCGGGGAGCGCUCGCUCGGGGGACGGGGCCGCUGUCCCCCGGGGCGGGCGAUCCCGAGCGGAUCCCCGCGGAUCAGCACCACGGACAGCGGCCGGCGGGGCCGCACCGGGACGCGAGCCCCGCACCGGGAGCCGGCCCCGCGGGCAGGACUCUCCCGGGACAUCACCGCCCACCGGAGGCACCGAGGAUGGAUGCUCGCCGGGCCGGAUCUCAUAGAUGGAUCCAACCCAGAGGUCUCUGAAGAACAGGGGACUCAGGUUCUCACCCAGCGCUGACGAUGGCGGGCUCAGAGCUCUGGGCAGGUUCUGUGUGACCUCAGGAGGGGCUGCACAGGCAGGAAUGAACCCCCGUUCCCUGCGAGGAAUCCCCAGGGUCCCAGCAGGAUGCAUUAACAGCACGUCUCUCCAGUGAGCCGUGAUGGGAACAGCACGGAGCAAAAAAAAAAGAGGAGCGGAGAAGCGAUCUCUCGAAGGAUCCUGGCUGGCAGCAGCAUCACCAUCUGACUGAAGAGAGAACUCAGCCACACGCAUAAUCCUGGGGAAAAUUCAUCUCCACCCUCCCGCAGACCCCGAUACUUCAGAUAAAAGAGCGAGUGCAUCUGGUCACCAUGGCAACACGAGAGCCAGCGGGGAGAGGAAAUGUCACCGUGUCUGUGCCUUGACCUGCACACAAACAGCCUGGCAGCUGGGGGUGGCACUGCCUGCGCUCACAGGGGACAGGGACGCUCCCAGGCUGGAUAUUCACAGCCAGGAAUGCCCUGACACACCACAUGUGUGUCAGAUGGAACUCGUGGGGCUUUUUCUGGGUGCAAACGUGAUGAACUCGUGCCCAGAGUUGUGUUUCCACAGCCCUGAAGGGAGAGGUUGGACUUGGUGGUCCUGGAGGGCUUUUCCAAGCUGAAGGGUUCCUGGUUCCUCCUGCCCUUGCUCAGCCCAGACACCCUGCAGGUGUUCAAGGCACCUUUGCCCCUUUUCUUCUCAAACACAAAGUCGCUGUGCCACAGAAUUCCAGGAAGUUUUGGGACGGGGGGACCUCAAAGCCCACCCAGCCUCACCCCAGCCAUGGCAGGGACACCUCCCACUGUCCCAGGGUGCUCCAAGCCCAAUGUCCAGCCUGGCCUUGGACAUUACAGGGAUCCAGGGGCAGCCCCAGCUGCUGUGGGAAUCCCAUCCCAGCCUGCCAGGGAACAAUCCCCGGGCACAGACCUGCAGUGGGAAUUGUGCCACGGACACUCUGCUCCAGGAGCAGCUGCUGCUGCUCCCGGGGACUUGCAGAAGCUGCUGGAGUGAAAAUUGGGCUCCUGCUGCCUGUUAUGCAAAAGCAGUUUCUUAGCAACAAAAGUGAUAUUCUGUGUGAAGGCAACAGGCAUCAGUGGGAUAAUCCACUGUAAUUCCAGACAAGACCUAAAACGGGUGGAUGGACUGAAUAAUAAUAAUCAUGACAGACAGAAUAAUAAUAAUGGAAAUAAUGAGACUAAGCUUAUUUCCCUGGGUAGGAAAAACCCAGCUAUAAAUAAAAUACAAUGGGAGAAACCCUGUGCCAGUUCUCUGUAUAAAGAUUAGGGACACCUAAACUCAAUUUAUGCCCUAAAAAUAGACUGUGGUGAGUAAAGCUU